GCCUAACACAUGCAAGUCGAGCGGCAGCGAAAGAAAGCUUGCUUUCUUGUCGGCGAGCGGCAAACGGGUGAGUAAUAUCUGGGAAUCUACCCAAAAGAGGGGGAUAACUACUAGAAAUGGUAGCUAAUACCGCAUAAAGUUGAAAAAACCAAAGUGGGGGACCUUAAAAGGCCUCAUGCUUUUUGGAUGAGCCCAGAAGAGAUUAGCUUGUUGGUAAGGUAAAAGCUUACCAAGGCCACGAUCUCUAGCUGGUCUGAGAGGAUAACCAGCCACACUGGAACUGAGACACGGUCCAGACUCCUACGGGAGGCAGCAGUGGGGAAUAUUGCACAAUGGGCGAAAGCCUGAUGCAGCUAUGCCGCGUGUAUGAAGAAGGCCUUAGGGUUGUAAAGUACUUUCAGCGGGGAGGAAAAAAUAAAACUAAUAAUUUUAAUUUCCUGACGUUACCCGAAGAAAGAAGCACCGGCUAACUCCGUGCCAGCAGCCGCGGUAAUACGGAGGGUGCUAGCGUUAAUCAGAAUUACUGGGCGUAAAGAGCACGUAGGUGGUUUUUUAAGUCAGAUGUGAAAUCCCUGG
rnacentral:rRNA from 2 species